CUGGGUGUGGGAAAGUUUGGUCUAAUCCGCCUGGCCUGGAACCAGGAGAACGCAGGUUCAAAUCCUGCCACCCAGA
rnacentral:tRNA from 1 species